UACGUAGGGUGCAAGCGUUAAUCGGAAUUACUGGGCGUAAAGCGUGCGCAGGCGGUGUUGUAAGCCAGGUGUGAAAUCCCCGGGCUUAACCUGGGAACUGCAUUUGUGACUGCAUCGCUGGAGUGCGGCAGAGGGGGAUGGAAUUCCGCGUGUAGCAGUGAAAUGCGUAGAUAUGCGGAGGAACACCGGUGGCGAAGGCAGCUUACUAGGCUGUAACUGACGCUGAGGCACGAAAGUGUGGGGAUCAAACAGG
rnacentral:rRNA from 1 species